rnacentral:lncRNA from 1 species
GAGACAGUCAACAGCACAAAAGCAUGAGAUGCUCCACAGCAAGAGUUCUCCAGGGCUGGGAUCAAGUCCUGUCUCCUCUCUAAUCCAACGCCCGUCAUUAGCACUGACAGAAGUGAACCUUCAGAAUCCAAGUGGAUUUCCCAAGAGUCAUUCGUCAGAAAUGUUACAAGAGCAAAGUUAAUUCUGCCUGUCUGCCCCAAGUGAAUGAAGGUAGGAGUCUUUCUCUCUGAAAACAAACAAGAACCUUUCCAGAGAGUUUGAUCAUCUUUUAAGAUUCGGUCCACACCAUCAUCUGCCCAUUUUCAGGAGAAGAAAAGUUCCACCCCACCCACUGAUGAGCUGGGAGGCCUCCUUUCUCAGUUAGCGAUCUCCUGGAAGCCAUGAACACACUGGUGUCUUUGCAUAUUCUUCCUCUCCUCCCUGACUCCAUCUAAGCAGAUUGAAAACUUAGUUUCUGAGCCCUGAAGCAAAGAGAGAAGAGCAGUCAGCCUCCUGCGGAAGCUCUUCACAGUCUCCCAGGGAUUUCCAGUCAUGGCCAACGUCUUUGUUACAGGACGGAAUCCAGCAACCACUUGCAACCUUAACAUAGAGCAGUAGCCAAGUUUUACGGGCUAGUUACAAAUAUCAGAUGUGUGGUGAUUAUCCAUGGGCUUAGAGUGAGUUGGGCAUAUUUAAGUUAUGAAAGAUGUGUUUAUUUCCCCUGGACCCCAAAUAAAUGUCAGUGACAGCUCCAA